ACAAACACACACACAGCAUCCUAAUUUAUCUCUGAUAAAAGCCAGUUUCGUUAUGGUGAGAUUAAUUCAUUAAAAAAACGAAUGCUUUAGAUGUAAAAUUUGUAUGAAUAUAAAUAACAAGGGUGAAAUUCUUUGUUGCAUGGGUGAGUUUUGGUCAAAACUGACAGCACAAGAGGCAAAAUCAACGCAAUCUCUAAAGAAAAUGCCAUACCUGACCAUUACUGUAAUUUGAAUGCAGAUGAAAAUAGAAAAUAUUGGCAAUAUUUCUAGUUGGAAGGGAUACGAUUGAAAAUAGUAUGAGUGGCUACAAAUAAUUGUCCUCUCUUUACCAGUAUAGGCUGACCGUGUAUGUGUGAUACGUAAUGAGGAUAGUCCAUGUUUACCACAAUAUGGAAGGCUGGUGAUUUAGAUAAGCCUACUCAUGAUCUAGCUCUAAUAUGAAUUCUAACGUGUCAGACAGAAAUAUGCAUUACGCAUUCGAUAAUUGAUUGACGGACCACAUUAAGAUUAGAAUGGUUUUGUCUUUCGGAAAUAUAGAUUCGAAGUAUAGGCCUAUAUGAUUUUUUUAUAUUUGCUAAAUGUCAACAGUUUCUUCUCUUUCAUCACAUUCCUCCAUCUUAGGUAUAUGAUACUGGAAUACAUUUGACAUUUUAGUCAUUUAGCAGAGCCUUGCUCAAGGGGCGGCAGGGUAGCCUAGUGGUUAGAGUGUUGUUCUAGCACCCGGAAAGUUGCAAGUCAAACCCCCGAGGUGACAAAUUACAAAUCUGUCGUUCUGCCCCUAAACGGGUAGUUAACCCACUGUUCCUAGGCCGUCAUUGAAAAUAAGAAUUUGUUCUUAACUCACUUGCCUAGUUAAAUAAAGGUUAAGAAAAAGGGGCACAUCGCCAGAAUUUGCGGCUCGAGGAUUCGAACCAGCGACUUUUCGUUAGGCCCAACGCUACUGGCCCAACGCUCUUAUUGGCUACAAGUAUUCAAUGGCUAUCCAUUUUGACAGCUAUCCUUGGCAAUUCAAAUGACAAAUAGGUAGCCUAAUUGCUUUUGUCUCAAAAAAAUGUCUAAAUUCAAAUAGCUCUCAUUUUUCUAAAUGUUGCUAUAGACCUUGUUCGGCCUGUAGCUCAAGACUAAGUUGUAAAUAUGUAUUAUUAGUGUGAUUGGAAAUUGGAACCGCACUUUAUGCUUAUCUAGGUCACAUAUAGCUGCCAUUCCUCAUUGUACAUAUUGAUCCAAGUGCGUCACACUAUUCAAUUAUAGCCUACAAAUUCGCAAAAUGUGGUUAGGUUUUAAAGUGGCAAAAGCAAUACUUAAUGUGCAAUAAUCCUAGAACGUUGUAGCCUAUGCAUGCAACCCCAUGUGUGUUUGUCAAGACAAAUUACUUGUAGAUCCAUGACAGCAUGCAGCCUCUUCGGAGGGAAACAAUUUUUACGUGUGCCCGUCUGACCACUUCUAUUGGGUGACACAUCAGACGAGCAGUUUGGGAGCAAGGUUCACUUGUGGAGGAGGCUGAGUUACACGAGUAGGGAGUACAGCAUCUCCAACCGGCUCGCACAAUCAAUUGCGCUGGAAAAUUGGCGUCGACUUGAUUGAGAGCGCGUGCAUAGCCUGCCAGGAAGAUUUGAAUGGUGAUGUAAAAUAUAAGGGUAAGUUAAACGUGUCUCACUUACUUUAGAUAACGUAUUGCGAUUCUAUUUUGUACAGCAAAACACUCAUUCUAAACGAAUACUUUUUUUGUGAUUUAAAAAACGAUAACGGCUACAAAAAAAAAACAAUUAGCUACUUAAAGACAAAUGUUAAUAAGUCUGCGUUUCUUGCUUCCAGUAUGUGUGUGUGUGUGUGUGUGUGUGUGUGUGUGUGUGUGUGUGUGUGUGUUUUUGUGUGGCCGCGCGCGCGCUCUCGUAAACGCCUCCUGUGUGCACAUCAUCACCCUAUAGGAAAUGCCACCUUUACAUAGCCUACAGAAACAUAGCUACUGUAAGGUGCGGUAACACUUAACAUUAAUCAGAUCCUGCAAAUGAGAUAGUAUAGUUUAUUGAAGUUGAAAUAAACCCAGCUAUUCUCAUCAUUAUCAUAGAUCUGAAUCCUAUUGUUUGACCACUAGAGUUCUACUCUUUGUUUAUACAUUUCCUAGAUUUAUAUUAUUAUAUUUGACCAUUUUACAUGAUUAUUCAACUAACUAACGUUCUGUAUUUCCUAUUUUUUUAACGCACUCUUUUUUUCUAAAUAUUAUUUUUCAUGAUAUGUGAAAUUCGUAAUAGGUUACUGCUUGUAGGUGGGCAUCAGUGUCCAUAAAUACGCAUUGCAAUCACCAUGACCUAAUUCAAAAGUAAUAGCAUGGAAAACGAAGCAAAGAGAAAAGUAAAGCAAAUGCAAAUCUACCUUUUACAUAUGUAUCAAUGUUAAAAAAGAAUAAUACGCACGCCGAACCAACAGCGUCGAAGCAUUGAGAAUGGCAGAGCAGGUCGUCUCAUUAUGCACAGGCGAUUUCCCAGGCAGAACCCUUGGUUUCUUCACUUCAUGUUUCCGAUCCGUACCGCUCACACACGCUCGGAGCUUCGUCAAAAACAAACAAGGCAAUGUUCGCUUUCAAAACGGCAAUCAAAUACCCAAGAACCGGUGGGGGGAAUUACUCCCACAGCGGCUAGAUGGUGAGAGAGGAGUCAUCGGGAGCCAGACAGAGAGUACCAGGAUAACGGCUGUGUCCAUGUGUUAAGGAUGACCCACAGAUCACAGAGAUGGAGCAUCUAUCUGCGUGACCCUUUACUGUUGUCUCUAGUGGGGCUCGAGACAUGGGCUUCGAACACCACCUGAACAUCAACAUGCACAACCAUCAAGAUACAGUACGCUGAGAAGACAGAUACAGAACUCUACUAUUUAUAAUCAGCAUGCAUAUAUCUGUUCUAGAUACACAGAAACCACCAAAUACACACUAACAUCCUUUGAAUCAAGUCAGUUUUUUGUAUCAUUGUGAUUUAAAUCUGUAAGUUGUAAAACUGUUUACCAUGUCUACUCACUGGGAUGUAGAAGUACAACAUUAUUUAUUCUGAAUUGUAAAAGUCUGUAUUGGUGUAUUGGAUUUUGAAUUAACCUGUCCUUAGAAUACAGCAUAACAUCUGAAGGGAACCCGCAGGACACAUUGUCUUUAUCUGACAUUGACUGAAUUUAUAGAAAAAGUAAACAUCAAAGGGAAUAUUUUUGUACUUUCUCAAAUCAUUGUAUUUUCUCAAUGAACAGAAUAAAAUAUAUUCAAGAAUAUUUUGUUUCUGAGUUUUUUACAGUAUGUCUACAGUACUGUAUAUACCUUUGACAUGACUAGAUCCUCUGUGGGAUCAAUGUGAAUUGGGUGCUGAUCAAAAUAAAACAACAUGGCUG
ensembl:lncRNA